UACGUAGGGUCCGAGCGUUGUCCGGAAUUAUUGGGCGUAAAGGGCUCGUAGGCGGUUUGUUGCGUCGGGUGUGAAAACUCGGGGCUUAACCCCGUGCCUGCUUCCGAUACGGGCAGACUAGAGGUAUGCAGGGGAGAACGGAAUUCCUGGUGUAGCGGUGAAAUGCGCAGAUAUCAGGAGGAACACCGGUGGCGAAGGCGGUUCUCUGGGCAUUACCUGACGCUGAGGAGCGAAAGUGUGGGGAGCAAACAGG
rnacentral:rRNA from 1 species